rnacentral:rRNA from 1 species
GUUUUGAUUGUGGGUUAUAUAUGUUAAAAAUUAAUGUGAAUAAGCUAGAGCGUUGUGAGAUAUAGGUGGGACUACCUUUGGUAUAAGGGGGCUAAGAUUUUGUGUGUAUUUGUAUACAACCCCAAACCCUAAGAUAUUUAUUAAAUAAGACUUAAGAAAUUGGGGCUUUAUUUUCUAAAGUUGUGAAAUGCAAGCGUUUAGGUUAUAUGUGGCGUAAGUCUGAGAGGAAAGCUUUCAGGUUGCAUCUUAUGCUUUUUUACCAUGUGAAUUAUUUAAAAUAUAAUAUUGUUAUAAUAAUUUGGGGUUUUAUAAAAUAUAAGGAGAAAAGAUGCAUGUAAGUCAAAGAAUAUUUUUGAUUUUAAGGAUUUAGCUAUUAGUAGUGUAUCUAUUAAAUGUGGUGUAUUUAAUGUAUCAACUAUUUGAACUCGAAAGUUUAGCAACUGUUUAUUAAAAACAUUUCUAGUUGUAUAAUUAGUAACCCCUGCCCGCUGAUUUGUUGAAGGGCCGCAGUAAGUUGACUGUGCUAAGGUAGCAUAAUAAUUAGGUCAUUAAUUGUGAUCUGGUAUGAAAGGGGGUUUGUCUAAGCUGUGGUGAUUGGUUGAAAAAGAAAUUGCUAGUUGGUGAAAAUGCCAACUAAUUGGUUAAAGACGGAAAGACCCCUGAAGCUUUACAAGGUGUUGUUUUGUUGGGGCAAUGAGUGAGAGUUAAAGUUUCAUUUAAUUAUAGUUACUCAGGGGAUAACAGGGUAAUCACCAUUAGUCCGGUGGUUUACUACCUCGAUGUUGGAUCAUCCUUAGAAUAGUCUGUUCGACUUUAGCAGGGUACGUGAUCUGAGUUUAGAUCGGCGUAAGCCAGAUCGGUUCUUAUCUUUAAAAGUCUUUUUGUAGUACGAAAGGGGGCAGAAGGUGUAAUAAUUAAUUU